CGGGGCUCUACGCGUGUGCACGAAUUAUGUCCCGUACGUGCUAUCCUCUGAAAAGGAAAGCUGUAUUUAAGCUCUCUGUACAGCCCUAUGCGGACAUCACUGGACGUGAACCUGUUGAAGGACUUGAAGCUAACCAUGAGGAUCACGAUCCCCUUUUUCAUCUUCGCCUUGGCAAUUGGUGUUGCCUUGGCUGGCGCCCAAUACGGCGGCUACGUUGCCGGUCACAAAGUACACGGCGGUGGCCACAAAGGUUACGGAUACGGCAUGAGCCAUGGUGGAUACCAUGGAAAAUCUCACGGUGGAUAUCAACGCAGCCACGGACAUGGACACGGCGGUUACGGAGGCGCGAAGCACCACGGUGGAUCGGGAUACGGCGUCAAGCACCAUGGAUGAGACGGCUACGGCAAAGGCCCGAAAAUCUGGCAGUUUUCUUUGUAAAUUUGCUGCUACGUGAUUGAAUAAAACUGUUGUGUGACGGCA